CAACAACCAAAUUUGUGGACCCAUCCCUCAUGAAUUGGGUUAUUUGAUCAACUUAGAAGAAAUGGCGCUUGAGAACAACACACUUACAGGUUCCAUCCCCUACACCUUAGGAAAUUUGACCAAACUCACUACGUUGAACCUUUUUGAGAACCAGCUUUCUCAAGACAUUCCUCGAGAACUAGGUAAUCUGGUAAAUUUGGAGACCUUGAUGAUCUAUGGAAACACACUAACAGGUUCCAUCCCAGAUAGCUUAGGAAAUUUGACUAAACUCAGUACCUUAUACCUUCACCACAACCAACUCUCUGGACACCUUCCCAAUGAUCUAGGUACUUUGAUCAAUUUAGAGGACUUGAGGCUUAGCUACAACAGACUAAUAGGUUCCAUCCCAAACAUCUUAGGGAAUUUGACCAAACUUACUACCUUGUACCUUGUAAGUAACCAACUUUCUGCGAGUAUUCCUAAAGAACUAGGUAAGUUGGCCAACUUAGAAGGUUUAAUUCUGAGUGAAAACACACUCUCAGGUUCCAUUCCAAAUAGCCUAGGGAAUCUGACAAAACUCAUAACCUUGUACCUUGUCCAGAACCAACUUUCCGGAUCUAUUCCUCAAGAAAUUAGCAAGCUAAUGAGUCUGGUUGAGUUGGAGCUCUCUUAUAACAACCUCUCUGGUGUCUUGCCUUCCGGUCUUUGUGCGGGAGGUCUACUAAAGAAUUUCACCGCAGCUGGAAACAAUUUGACUGGACCCUUGCCAUCAAGCUUGCUUAGUUGUACAAGCCUGGUCAGACUUCGCCUUGAUGGAAACCAACUUGAAGGAGAUAUCGGUGAGAUGGAAGUUUAUCCAGAUCUUGUAUAUAUUGACAUCAGUUCAAACAAACUAUCUGGCCAAUUAUCUCAUCGUUGGGGUGAGUGUUCCAAACUUACCCUAUUGCGUGCAUCAAAAAACAAUAUAGCUGGAGGGAUACCACCAAGCAUAGGGAAAUUAUCUGACUUGCGGAAACUUGAUGUUUCAUCAAAUAAACUUGAAGGACAAAUGCCACGAGAAAUUGGCAAUAUAUCGAUGUUAUUCAAAUUGGUCCUAUGUGGUAACUUGCUCCAUGGAAAUAUACCACAAGAAAUUGGAUCAUUAACAAAUUUGGAGCAUCUAGAUUUAUCAUCAAACAACCUCACUGGGCCAAUACCAAGAUCAAUUGAGCAUUGUCUGAAGCUUCAAUUUCUAAAGCUGAACCAUAAUCACCUUGAUGGUACCAUUCCUAUGGAAUUAGGUAUGUUGGUAGACCUACAAAUUUUGGUGGAUCUGGGUGACAAUUUAUUUGAUGGCACUAUUCCAAGUCAAUUGAGUGGUCUCCAGAAACUCGAAGCCUUGAAUCUUUCUCAUAAUGCACUAAGUGGGAGCAUCCCCCCAUCAUUUCAGAGCAUGGCCAGCCUAAUAUCUAUGGAUGUGUCAUAUAAUAAGUUGGAAGGGCCAGUGCCACAAAGUAGGCUCUUUGAAGAGGCUCCAAUUGAAUGGUUCGUGCACAAUAAGCAAUUGUGUGGUGUAGUGAAGGGUUUGUCCCUGUGUGAAUUUACUCAUAGUGGUGGACACAAAAGAAACUACAAAACACUUUUAUUGGCUACAAUACCUGUUUUUGUAGCAUUUUUGGUUAUCACUUUAUUGGUGACAUGGCAAUGUAGGAAGGACAAAUCGAAAAAAGCAAGUCUUGAUGAGCUACAGCACACAAAUUCGUUCUCGGUCUGGAACUUUGACGGAGAAGAUGUGUACAAGAACAUUGUUGAUGCCACAGAAAAUUUCAGCGACACAUACUGCAUUGGAAUUGGAGGUAAUGGGUCUGUCUAUAAAGCUCAAUUACCAACUGGUGAGAUGUUUGCAGUCAAGAAGAUCCAUGUGAUGGAAGAUGAUGAGCUAUUUAAUCGUGAAAUACAUGCGUUGGUGCAUAUUCGACAUCGCAACAUCACGAAGUUAUUUGGUUUUUGUUCUUCUGCUCAUGGAAGAUUUCUUGUGUAUGAAUACAUGGAUAGAGGAAGCUUAGCAACAAAUUUGAAGAGCCACGAAACUGCAGUUGAAUUGGACUGGAUGAGGAGGUUAAAUAUUGUUAUGGAUGUUGCUCAUGCUUUGUCCUAUAUGCAUCAUGAUUGCUUUGCGCCGAUAGUCCAUAGAGAUAUCACAAGCAACAACAUUUUGCUCGAUCUAGAAUUCAAAGCCUGCAUCUCAGAUUUUGGUAUUGCCAAAAUACUAGAUAUGAAUUCAUCAAACUGCACAAGUCUUGCCGGUACAAAAGGAUACCUUGCCCCAGGUAAACCUAUAUCAAUGUGAAUAUAAAACGUGUUGCUAAGCUAUGCCUUACAUAAUGUAUAACAUUUCUUUCAAAUAUUGGUGUUGCAGAGCUUGCAUACACAACAAGGGUGACGGAGAAGUGUGACGUAUAUAGCUUUGGAGUGCUGGUGCUCGAGUUGUUCAUGGGACAUCAUCCCGGUGAAUUUCUUUCGUCCCUCUCAUCCACAGCUAGGAAAAGUGUUUUACUCAAGCAUAUGUUGGACACCAGGCUACCAAUCCCUGAAGCUGCGGUUCCAAGACAAAUCUUUGAAGUUAUCAUGGUCGCUGUCCGGUGCAUAGAGGCUAACCCGUUACUCCGUCCGGCGAUGCAAGAUGCAAUUAAGGUGCUCUCCAUGAAUGGAGGACCUAGUGAUCUCGAUUAUCUGCACACUGAAAUCGUCAUCCCUGCCUGCUGGUUGUGAAGUUCCUUAGCAAAUUGAUGUUUCUUGCGUUGACUACAGAGUAUCUGUAACCACUCGCUUGCAUGAAUAUUUGUGUAGCGCAGUUCAUGCUAUUUGGUUAAAAUAAAUAUCCAUAUUUUGUAUCCUCUGUUAUAGGAGAUGGAGCCCGAUCAAGUGGUGCUUUUCAUGUAUGGGUAAAUAAAGUUGGCAUGGAUAUCAUCUCAUUUUUGGGUCAUUUUAAUUCCCAAAAUGCUCGGCUUUAGCCUUUACCUUUCACAAAUCACUCAGGGCUGAAGAAAAAUCCACCGGUUGCUUUUCAGCAAGAACAUGAUGGGUCAUGGGUGCGCAUGCUAUGAAGCACACCGCUUCAUGUCGUCCUAGAAGUGGUGGAAUACAUGGAAGCACUGCACUAUUUUUCUCUCUUACGUGCCGGCGCGCCGCAGUGAAUUGAUGCUAGAAACAGCACUGAAGGUUGUUUCUUCAGAAGCAAUGACAAAUAGACAAUGCUGCUGGUUUCUGAAGCAUGACUACAGGAGUAUAUUAUUUGAUUCCUCAAUUUGUUAUCCAUACCAGUUUUUUUUAUUUGCAAUCCAUACCAGUUUGUAGUCUAAAUUUCCCUAACCUUGAUGCUGACGCAUAUAUCUAUCAUGUUCAGUUCCUCAAAAAAUAAAGAAAAGUUCCGUGUCAUUAAUUUAGCCCAUACAAAAGGAAGGCCCAGUUUGCCACAGGUUACAGGUAUGUCUUUAGCCCAUACGAGAUAAGAACUGAAUCAGUUGAACAGAGUUGGGUAAGUAAAGAAAAGGCGGCGGCCCAGCACGUUGUGGCACCAUGCCAAUUGACAAGCUACAAGACGGACUCCAAGCUCCAGCAGCAUGCAUAUGGUGGGAUUAAAUGCCUUGUUGCGUGCAUGCCUGUGUCUUCCCUGCAAUGAAUUGGCCUGCAUGCAGCAGCAGUACAGCACAUGAAUGAAAAGAAAAUGGAGUAGCUGUACCAGGCCUCAUCGUUCCAUCAAAUCAAAUCAGUGGGCUAGGCACAUGCAUGCGUACCCGGUCGUAAUCUGCUGGAACAUGCAUGUCCGGUUUGGCCAGUGGCCAGCCCGGUUUGCUAGCCUGAUCUGCUGCUUGAUCAGGGAUUAAUGUGAGCUUCUACUUAAAACCGGCUGCCAGAUAUUAUCAUUUUGUUGUUGUUGUUGUUUCUCGAGGCUAGUCAUACAAAUUGGUAUGCGCCGGUGCCGCUCAAAAAGAUUGGUAGCUAGUAACAUGGUGCAUGUGUCAAUGGUGCAGUGGAAUUCGUUCAUUCGUCGACGCUUGUCGGUUGAGCAGACAUGCAGCUUGGUGGCGUCAACAAAUUUAUUGCCAAUGCUGUGCUCCAACACAAUAAAUACUUACUUGCAUCUGGUUGCCACUCUACUGGCCUGCACUUUCUUCCGGUGGGCUCCGUCCGGGGCCUGGAAGACAAUGUUUCGAGGCCGAAACACCUGACUGCCCGUAUAUACUCGUACCAUGCAUGCAUGCAUGCAUGCAUGUAUAUAUAUACGUACGUUAAUCCCUACAUUUUUUUUUCUACUUCUAAGUCAUGCAUACUCCGUCUGAAAUAACAAAUCAUGUUAGGUUUCAUUUGAUAAGGUUUUUAAUUAUUAAUGAGAAUUACUUUGUUCUUGCAUGCGGCUAGAGUUGCAAGUUUUUGUCCCUCAGGAUACCCAUUUAUCCUACUUAGUUCAACCAAAUGAACUAAAGUUUUAAAAUGACAUAAUUUUUUUAAAAACCAGUUCAUUUGUUUGAAUUAAGAAGGGUCAAAGGGUACGCAAGUUGCAACUCUACAUGCGGCAAAUGUAUUAUUCGCUCCGUUCCUAAAUACUUGUGGUCGUUUUAGUGCAAACUUUUAGGAACGGAGGGAGUGCUACCAUGGAGAUGCGUGCAUGCAUGCAUACAUACACGGUGUCCACCAGUACAUCUAGAUGCAUAACGUUGACUGCUGUAUUACUACUACCACGGAGUAACAUGCAAGCGCAUGAGCGCUAGCCGUUGGUUGGCUGCAUGGCUAUGGUUAGUUGGGCAGAGGAUGAGGAAGCGCGUGGGAUGGCAUAAAUGCCUGCGCCCGCCCUGCCCACCGUUACGGCCAAUAAUCUACGCCACGCACACGCACAUUCUCCGGCCAGAGGUACGUUGCCAUCGCUAGCUGCCCAAGUCCAAGUACUCCCAUCGUCAAAUCCACCGGCGAAAUUCCCUCUGUCACCCACACCCUGCCAUGCGACGCUGUCGGCCCGCCGUCGCCGGCCGAUCGCAAGCUAGAGCAGCUCGCUAGUUUUAGAAGUGGGGGAAGGAAUACAUGGAAGCACUGCACUAUUUUUCUCUCGAUCUUACGUACGUGCCGCAGCACAUUAACAGUAGAUGCUAGAAACAGUACUGAAGGUUGUUUCUUCAGAAGCAAACAAUGACAAUGUUGCUGGUUUCUGAAGCAGGAGUAAAGAAAGCACAGUGUCGAUCAUAUUAAAGACAGUUAUGUGCCUAAUGUUUGUGUGUAUUAUUUGAUUCCUAAAGUUUUAAUGCAUGCCAGUUUAUAUUCUAAUGCUGGCACAUCUCAUCCUGUUUUUUUUUUAGAGGAAUCUAAUCCUGUUCAGUUCCUCAAACAAGUAAAAAACAAACAUAUCUUUGUUCAUCGUCCUUAAUUUAGCCCAUACAGAAAAACGGCCCAGUUAGCAACAAGUCUUUAGCCCAUAUGAGCUAGAAACUGAACCAGUGGAACAGAGUUGGGUCGAGCUGGGUAAGUAAAGAAAAGGCGGGCAGCCCAGCACGUUGUGGGCUUGUGGCACCAUGCCAAUUGACAAGCUACGAUACGGAUUCGUUUCCCUCAAAAAUAAAAAUAACGGAUUCGCUGCAAGUCUCCAGCUCCAGCAGCAUGCAUGUGGUGCGAUUAAAUGCCUUGUUGCACGCAUGCUUGUGUCUUGUAGCAAGGCUUUCCCUGCAAUGAAUUGGCCUGCAUGCAGCACAGCACUUGAAUGAAAAGGAAAUAGCUGUAGAACGUCAUCGUUCCAUCAAAUCAAAUCAGUCGGCGAGGGGACUAGCUAGGCAAAUGCAUGCGUACCCGGUCGUCGUAAAAUCUGCAUGCAUGUCCGGUUGGCCAGUGGCCAGCCCGGUCGGUCGAUGCUUAGCUAGAUCUGCUGCUUCAGGGCUAGCUGGUGAGCUGAAGCGAUCGAAACCAGCUGCACUUUCUUGAGAUUGGUAUAUAUGCAGAUGGGACCGCUGCUACUCAAGAGGAUUAAACUCGUAAUGUUAUCACCGUCCUUCCAAGCAUGUAGUGACUAGCUAGCUGGUGUGUACUACACACAUGCAUGCAUGCAUGCAUUGUGCAUGUGUCGGUGGUGAACAGUGGUGGAGUGGAAUUUUUCGUUCGUUGGUCGACUCUUGUCGGUUGAGCAUACAUGCAACUUGGUACUAGCUAGUAGGCGCACACAAAUUUAUUGCCAAUGCUGCACCGAUUAAUACUUGCAUAUGAAUAUGAUAUGCAUAUACAAGUACAUGGCUCACACUACUGGCCUGCAGCACUAAUUUCUUCACAAUUUUGUUUCAGAUACGUCUACUAUGAGCUGAGUACUGGUAGUUCCUCGUGUGGGCUCCGGGGAAGAUAAUAAUGUACCGUACCGAGGCCGUGCCGUGCCGUGCGUACGUACAGCAUGAAUGCGUGAUACAAAGAACGCACUGGGCGUAUGAGCUGCUGGCGAGAGAUACAUGUCCAUACGUUCAUCCAUAUACUCACGUAUCCAUAUACUAAAGUACUUCUAGCACUAAAUAUGGGACGUACGAAGGGAGUAUAUUAUAGUACAUGCAUUGUUCUACCUCCGUCUAAAAUAUAAAUCAUACUUAGUAUUAGGUUUCAUUUUAUAAGGCUUUAAUUAAUUAGGAUUAAUUCAAACUUUGAAGCUCUUGCAUGCUGCAAAUGUAACAUGCAGAUGCAUGCAUCCACACGGUGUCCACUAGCUAGCACAUCUAGAUAUGCAUAACGUUGACUGCUGUAUUACAUGGAGUAACAUGCAAAGCAGAUACACAGCGCCGUUGGUUGGGCAGAGGGAAGAAGAUGAGGAAGCGCGUGGGAUGACAUAAAUGCCUGCGCCCACCGGCACGGCCAAUAAUCCACGCCACGCACGCACAUUCUCCGGCCAGAUACGUCGCCAUCGCUCCAAGUACUCCCAUCGUCAAAAAUCCACCGGCGAAAUCCCCUCUGUCACCCACUGCCCUGCCAUGCGACGCUGUCGGCCUGCCGUCGCCGGCCGAUCGCAAGCUAGCUCAGCCAGCGUCCCAACCAACUGCGUGCAUUUACUCCACUCCUAGCUGCACUGCACAGCACCAGAGUACCCAGCUUCGAUCUGAGCUUCGCUAUAAAGCUCUCUGCGUCCCUCAGUACGACCAGCAUCACUUGAUUCACUUCCCUACUGAGCUUGAUUCCAGUGUAGCCAACCAGUUAGAGCAAUAAUGGGGAGGCGCGCGUGGCUGUCCGCGGUUGCGGUGGUGGUGCUAGCUUUGCUCGGGGUCACCAUUGAGGCGCGUCGGCUGGAGAAGGACGGCUUGGGCGGAGGCGGGUUCGGCGGCGGGAUCGGACAUGGUGGUGGGGUUGGAAUUGGGUUUGGAGGGGGGAAAGGUGGAGGUUUGGGCGGAGGUGGUGGUGGUGCUGGGGGUGGGCUUGGAGGGAUUGGCCAUGGUGGAGGUGCCGGGAUUGGGUUUGGUGGCGGGAAAGGUGGGGGCUUGGGUGGUGGUGGUGGACUAGGGGGUGGAGGUGGUGCUGGUGGUGGCGGCGGACUUGGUGGAGGGAUUGGGAAGGGUGGUGGGCUUGGUGGAGGAAUCGGCCAUGGCGGUGGACUUGGAGGAGGGAUUGGGAAGGGUGGUGGGCUCGGUGGAGGUGUUGGCCAUGGCGGUGGACUCGGAGGAGGCAUUGGGAAAGGUGGUGGGCUUGGUGGAGGUGUUGGCCAUGGCGGUGGACUCGGAGGAGGCAUUGGGAAAGGUGGUGGGCUUGGUGGAGGCGCAGGAGGUGGUGCCGGCGGUGGGCUUGGAGGCGGUGCGGGUGGAGGAGGAGGUCUCGGUGGUGGCGCGGGAGGCGGCUCCGGUGGUGGUCUUGGAGGAGGUGCAGGUUCCGGUGGCGGGGCUGGUUCAGGUGGCGGGCUUGGCGGUGGUGCUGGUUCAGGAGGGGGCCUCGGAGGAGGCGCCGGUUCAGGAGGUGGGCUCGGUGGCGGCGCCGGUUCGGGUGGUGGCCUCGGAGGCGGCGCAGGUGGAGGUGCUGGAACUGGUGGUGGGUUUGGUGGCGGUGCGGGAGGUGGUGCCGGCGGAGGCGGCGGACUAGGCGGUGGAGCUGGUGGGGGCGGAGGAGCCGGAGCCGGUGGUGGAUUCGGUGGCGGCAAAGGUGGAGGCUUCGGUGGCGGGGUAGGCGGCGGUGGCGGCGCAGGGGGUGGCGUCGGGGGUGGCUUCGGAGGAGGCUCGGGCGGCGGAGCAGGAGGAGGCUUCGGUGCCGGCCAUGGUGGAGGCGCGGGCUUUGGCGGUGGUGCAGGCGCCGGCGGUGGCGCUGGGUUCGGCGGAGGCGGAGGCGGAGGCGGAGGCGCCGGUGGUAGCAUCGGUGACGGGCAAUAGGGGCUAUGGCAUCAUAUAUAUCGGCUGUGAGAGAUCAAAAUUCAAAUCCAUCGUAUCCGUACUACUGGUGUCGCGACCAGAGGCUGGCAAAACUCAAUCUUGGUGGCCUACUUCAUUAAAUUAAGGGAACAAUAAUGAUAAUUCUGUUGAGUUGGGUCGAGAUGCACGGUUCUUUGUAAGGAUGUAUUUAUACCAAAAAUAUAUUAUAGAUAUCGUAUUGUAUUGCAGUGUUAUAUAUACUCUAUGCUAAUCCAAAAUUCGUAGCCGUGGGCGACGGUAUGGUCUGAUGGAUGGGCAGAUCGAUCUCUAGACACUAAAAUUGUGCUUCUACAUGCAUGUACCACUGGCAGCCCUGGACACGUGCACGUACGUACUUGAUUGUUAAUCUUGGUUAACUCUUUUUGGCCAGUAAGUACAGUAGUUGAAUGAAAGGUGCGUGUCAGUAAUGCAGAUCGAUCACACACACACAACGGAUGCAGAGCCAAAAUAAAACGCUAUUCGAGCCGGAGCUUCGGACCACUUUUGGGCCUUGAGGUCUACUUCCAGCCCAAAACCGGCCCAUAUAAAUAUCGCGUGGCCAGCUAAAUCCUUGGGAAGACCCGAACCAACCGCGCGAAGCAAGCUUGAUCUGCAGAGAAGGCCUACGAUCGACGACAUGCCAAUCUGGAAGGACAAGGAAAUUUCGUUAAUUAAAGCGGGCCUUUUGCAUGCCAUAUCUCCGACAGACUGCGCCGUAGCCCAGGAGGCUCCACGGCCCACCAGGGGCCCAGGGCUAAGCUGCCAUGCACCUUCCGAGCGACCUUUCGUUAGGCACGUCUUCUUUGUGUUGUUGAUCGAGAUAGCUACGCGAGUACAUCUCGAUCGAGCUAGCACGCGGUCAAAAAUGGCGAUCAGAUAUGAUGUCUCCGGCCACCAUCGAGUAUAUAUAUAUAUUGAUCUAAGGGUCCGUUUGGUUCUUUGGCAAAAGCUAAAUAAGCACCUACCAAGUCUUGCCGAUGAACCUCACCACUAAUUGGUCAUGUUCAGAUUGCAAAUCUUCCAAAGGUGGAGUCUCCAGUCCUCCACUACAUACAUUAAUCUCCAUGACAGCCACUAAUGCUUAUGUCGAACUUUCCCCUAACUGAAAUCCAUCAAGCAUGGCUCUAAAAUUCUCCAUGGUUGAAACUUUUAUGCCAGAUUCAGUGGAGUGAUGUAUAUUAUAUGGACGCGUGCAGUUAACAUGGGGAAAUGAUCGGCAGAGGCAGAUGUUGUGCAUAUGGCUAUUUAAGGUGCUGCCAAUGAGCUCCCAUAGAGGCACAAAACAAGAGCUAGCAAACUGAUCACCUAUGUAUUCCAAAAUGCUUGCCUCUCUCACUAUACUGAUGAUGGCCAGCGCCGCCACCGGACUUGUCUCCGCUGCCACCGUGCCGCAGUCGUCCUUAGAAGGACAAGCAGGAGCACUCCUCAUUUGGAAAGCCACCCUUAACAACAGAAGCCAGCUCGCUCUACAUUCCUGGCGAAACAAGUCUUCUUCACCUUGCAAUUGGCACGGCAUCAGGUGUGGUGCACACACGAUGCACCAGGGCCGGCUCCAACCAUUGAUCACCGGUGUCUCCUUGCGGCGGAUGCGGAUGCGAGGGACUCUGGAGUCCCUUGACUUCUCAUCCUUGAGAACCUUGAGGAGCCUCGACCUCUCGAACAACGAGCUUGUCGGAAGUAUUCCUUCGAGUAUUGAGGUCCUCGUGAAGCUCCGUGCUCUGCUCCUGCAAGGCAACCAGAUAAGAGGCUCAAUUCCAGCUUCUUUAGCCAACCUCAUGAAGCUUCGUUUGUUAGAGAUUUCUGACAAUCAAGUCUCCGGUGAAAUUCCAAGGGAAAUAGGGAAAAUGAGUCAUCUUGUGGAACUAGACUUCUCAUGCAACCACUUGGUUGGUCCUAUCCCUCCCGAAAUAGGUCACCUGAAGCACCUAUCUCUACUAGAUUUGUCCAAGAAUAACUUUUCCAACUCAAUCCCAACCUAUAUGGGUGAUCUCACCAAACUCACUAUAUUGUACCUUGACCAAAACCAACUUUCAGGAUACAUCCCUAUAGGACUAGGUUAUUUGAUGAACCUAGAGUACUUAGCGCUUAGCAACAACUUCAUCACGGGACCUAUUCCAACAAAUUUAAGCAAUUUAACUAAUCUCGUUGGUUUAUAUAUUUGGCACAAUAGACUUUCUGGACAUAUCCCUCAAGAACUAGGUCAUUUGGUUAACAUAAAAUACUUGGAACUCAGUGAAAACACACUAACAGGUUCCAUCCCAAACAGCCUAGGGAAUUUGACAAAACUCACUUGUUUGUUCCUUCACCGGAACCAACUUUCUGAAGACCUUCCCCAAGAACUAGGUUAUUUGGCCAACUUAGAGAGGUUGAUGCUUCACACUAACAACCUAACAGGUUCCAUCCCAUCCAUCUUUGGGAAUUUGAGCAAACUAAUUACAUUGCACCUAUAUCGUAACAAACUUCAUGGGUGGAUCCCCUCACAACUAGAUUAUUUAGUCAACCUAGAGGAGAUGGCGUUGGAGAACAACACACUAACAGGUCCCAUUCCAUGUAGCUUAGGGAAUCUGACCAAACUCACUAAAUUAUACCUUUACAACAACCAAAUUUGUGGAGCCAUCCCCCAUGAACUAGGUUAUUUGAUCAAGUUAGAAGAAAUGGCGCUUCAAAACAACACACUAACAGGUCCUAUCCCAUACACCUUAGGAAAUUUGACCAAACUCACUACCUUGAACCUUUUUGAGAACCAGCUUUCUCAAGACAUUCCUCGAGAACUAGGUAAUCUGGUAAAUUUAGAGAC
rnacentral:lncRNA from 1 species